UCUAUCUCCAUGUUGAGUAUANCCUGUCGAAAGNCGGGCUAAUACUGAAUGUGAUCGUCCGCCGCAUGGCGGAUUGUUUAAAGGCAGGGNCCCGCAAGGGCCUGUCGCUUGGAGAGGAGCCCGCGUCCUAUCAGCUAGUUGGUGAGGUGACGGCCCACCAAGGCGAUGACGGGUAGCUGGUCUGAGAGGAUGGUCAGCCACACUGGGACUGAGACACUGCCCAGACUCCUACGGGAGGCUGCAGUCGAGGAUCAUUUGCAAUGGGCGCAAGCCUGACAAUGCGACGCUGCGUGGAGGAUGACGGCCUUCGGGUUGUAAACUCCUGUCAUUUGGGAACAAGCUCGGGGAGGGGAUAAUGGCUUU
rnacentral:rRNA from 1 species